AAAGUCGUAACAAGGUUUCCGUAGGUGAACCUGCGGAAGGAUCAUUAUCGUGGGGCUCCGGCCCCGUCGAGAUAGAACCCUUGCCUUUUCAAGUACCGUCCGUUUCCUCGGCAGGCCCGCCUGCCAAUGGGGACCCCAAACAAACCCUUUUUGUACCUGUACCAGUCUGAACAACAAACAAAAAUUAAAACUUUCAACAACGGAUCUCUUGGUUCUG
rnacentral:misc_RNA from 1 species